AGGGAGAGAGAGACUUUGAGAUUGAAAUCCUUGGGGGAACGAGUGAGCAUGAUAUAUAUAUAGAGAGAGCGAUGUUGCAAAACUAGGUCUUAAUUUCCUUAUUUUUGCAAGAUUUUUUUAAUUUCCUUUUUUGUAAAACUUGAUCAUUUAUUGAUCGUUAUUUCCUUAUUUCGUUUCUUUUUGUUAAAACCCAAGUUGUUUCCUUUUUCAUUUUAAAUAACUGACCGUUAAAUAGUUUUUUUUUGUACCUUUGGAUUGGAUUAUUUAUUGGAAACUCAAUCCAAAAGAA
rnacentral:lncRNA from 1 species